UACGUAGGGUGCAAGCGUUGUUCGGAAUCAUUGGGCGUAAAGAGCGUGUAGGCUGCUUGCCAAGUCGAUUGUGAAAGCCCUCGGCUCAACCGGGGAAGUGCAGUCGAAACUGGCAAGCUAGAGAACGGUAGAGGAAGGUGGAAUUCCUAGUGUAGAGGUGAAAUUCGUAGAUAUUAGGAGGAAUACCUGUGGCGAAGGCGGCCUUCUGGGCCGUUUCUGACGCUGAGACGCGAAAGCGUGGGUAGCAAACAGG
rnacentral:rRNA from 1 species